AGAUGUUUCAUUUUUUCAGACUCCCUAUUUUCGUCCCAGCAGUGGUAGGAGGCUGGACUCUGGAGCCAAGCUGCCUGGGUUCAAAUCCAGCCUCUCCAGUCCCUGGCUGUUUGGUGACCUUGGGCUGUUGUGUGGUACCCAACCUUUCUGUGCUCAGCUUCCCUGAGUGAGCGCCGGCCUCAGAGAACUGGAUGCUCAGAUGGGCUGGGCUGCUCCCAAGCACAAGUCUGCUGUUCUGCAAACGUGACGAGAUGGAGGGACCAUUCUGGGUGGGUCGGGGGCUCACCGUGUAGCAGGUGAGGAAAUGCAUUUGGAGAAGUGAUGGGACACCCCCACACAAGAUUACAAACCUUAAGAUAGGUGACAAAUGCUCCCAAACUCAGACCCUGGCCCCCUUCCCCACCAAGAGGACUUCCGUUGCCACGUCACAGCCCCCCAUAAAGCUCAGAGGUGGAACCAUGAGGCCACCUCAAUCCUCUCCUGCUUGCCACCCACGCUCCUCAGAGCCCUCCUUUGAGUGACAAGGGAGGCUGUCUGCAAACCCCCAACUUUCACCCAGCCCCCAGCCCACCCCGUAAGGUGAUGUGCCGUUAUCCUGUGCCAGCUGGGUGGGAGCCCCGACUCCCCUGGCACCUGCUCCUGACCAGCUCCUUCUCUCUCACCCCAGCUGUCCCUGCUGUCCGUGCUGUCCUACCAUCUCCCACAGUGAUGUCACCGGAGCCUGAGCACCUGAGGCCCUUGCUCCUUCUGCCUUCUGGAGAUCAAUGGAAUUUUACCAAACCCUUGAUCCACUGCGACACAACGACCUUAUCUUUCCUCCCGUGGGGGCCCUCAGCCCAAAGGGGAGACCUUGCAGACAGUGGCCCACAAACAAUGGAACCAACACUGCAGGUGGAAGGAAUCGCCACAAGAUGGCGCACGGCCGAGUUUGCUCAGACAGCUUUCAUGAAAAUUUUUUUAAAAUCACUGAAAAGCACCAUGAGAAAUCAUCAGCCCAGGGACCUCCAGAUAUCUUAUAUUUCUUAUUCAUACCAAUAAAAUUUUUUAUCUUCUUGAUCCCAUUUACUUAU
rnacentral:lncRNA from 1 species